ACGGGAGGCAGCAGUGGGGAAUAUUGGGCAAUGGGGGAAACCCUGACCCAGCAACGCCGCGUGAAGGAAGAAGGCUUUCGGGUUGUAAACUUCUUUUACCAGGGACGAAGAGCGUGACGGUACCUGGAGAAACAGCCACGGCUAACUACGUGCCAGCAGCCGCGGUAAUACGUAGGUGGCAAGCGUUGUCCGGAUUUACUGGGGGUAAAGGGCGUGUAGGCGGAGCUGCAAGUCAGAUGUGAAAUCCCGGGGCUCAACCCCGGGACUGCAUUUGAAACUGUCGUGCUUGAGUGUCGGAGAGGCAAGCGGAAUUCCUAGUGUAGCGGUGAAAUGCGUAGAUAUUAGGAGGAACACCAGUGGCGAAGGCGGCUUGCUGGACGAUAACUGACGCUGAGGCGCGAAAGCGUGGGGAGCAAACAGGAUUAGAUACCCUGGUA
rnacentral:rRNA from 1 species